rnacentral:lncRNA from 7 species
AUGGGGUCCCUAGGGUGCUCUAUGGGGUCCCUAUGGGGCUCUAUGGGGUCACAAUGGGGCUCUAUGGGGUCCCUAUGGGCCCUAAUGGGGUCAUUAUGGGGCAGUUAUGGGGUCACUGUGGAGCUCUAUGGGGUCAUUACGGAGCUCUCUGGGGUCCCUAUGGGGCUCUAUGGGGUCCCUAUGGGGCUCUAUGGGGACACUGUGGGGCUGUUAUGGGGUCACUGUGGAGCUCUAUGGGGCCAUUAUGGAGCUCUCUGGGGUCCCUAUGGGGCUCUAUGGGGUCGCUAUAGGGCUGUUAUGGGGUCACUAUGGGACUCUAUGGGGACACUGUGGGGCUCUAUGGGGUCACUAAGGAGCUCUAUGGGGUCCCUAUGGGGCUGUUAUAGCGUCUCUAUGGAGCUCUAUGGGGUCACUAUGGGGCUCUAUGGGGUCACUGUGGGGCAGUUAUGGGGUCACUAUGGGACUCUAUGGGGUCACUAUGGGGCAGUUAUGGGUUCACUAUGGAGCUCUAUGGGGUCACUAUGGGGCAGUUAUGGGGUCACUAUGGGGCUCUAUGGGGUCACUGUGGGGCUCUAUGGGGUCACUGUGCAGCUCUAUUGGGCUGUUAUGGGGGCACCACUGUGUUCAGCUAUGGGGUCAGCGAUGGGAUCCCUUAUGGGGUCUCUUAUGGGGUCAGUAUGGGGUCAGCAAUGGGAUCCCUUAUGGGGUCUCUUAUGGGGUCGCUUAUGGGGUCAGUAUGGGGUCAGCAAUGGGAUCCCUUAUGGGGUCUCUUAUGGGGUCGCUUAUGGGGUCAGUAUGGGGUCAGCAAUGGGAUCCCUUCUGAGGUCACUUAUGGGGUCUCUUAUGGGGUCAGUAUGGGGUCAGCAAUGGGAUCCCUUAUGGGGAUCACUUAUAGGGCACUUAUGGGGUCAGCGUUGGGAUCCUUUAUGGGGUCACUUAUGGGGUCAGCGAUGGGAUGCCUUAUGGGGUCUCUUAUGAGGUCAGUAUGGGGUCAGCGAUGGGAUCCCUUAUGGGGUCACUUAUGGGGUCAGUUUGGGUCAGCAAUUGGAUCCCUUAUGGGGUUGCUUCUGGGGUCAGCGAUGGGAUUCCUUAUGGGGUCUCUUAUGGGGUCAGUAUGGGAUCCCUUCUGGGGUCACUUAUGGGGCACUUAUGGGGUCAGUGAUGGGAUCUCUAUGGGGUCACUUCUGGGGUCAGUGUGGGUCAGCGAUGGGAUGCCUUAUGGGGUCACUUAUAGGGUCUCUUAGGGGGUCAGCAAUUGGAUCCCUUAUGGGGUCGCUUCUGGGGUCAGCGAUGGGACUCCUUAUGGGGUCUCUUAUGGGGUCAGCGAUGGGAACCCUUAUG